CAAAGCUCCAAGACAGACCUGUAGCAGCAUGGCCCCAAAAGUUCCUCUGCUGCCCCAGUCCCAUACCUGCCUGAGGUAUGGGGGUUCAGGCUGAGUCGGCUGACCUGGAGUCAUCUGGAAGCCUUGUCAGAAAUGCAGAUUCUGCAGUGCUGUUCCCAGAGGAUCAGAUUCAGCAGAACUGGGUGUUGGAUAUUAUAUGAAGAGAUUUGCAAGUGUUAUUUUACGUAAUUCGCACUUUACAAAGGAGGAAACUGCAGCGCAGGGGGCGAGGUACCAAGGUUGCCCCAUCUCGGUCCAGGCCUGCUCCCUGCAAGCCACUCGCCCUUGACCACGCCUCCUCUCUCCUGAUUGGCUGUCAGGCAUGAGUCGACAGAGAAAGAUGACCACUGCCCUCACCCCACUAAAGAAGCCCCAGCACUUAGCAAGCACUUAUGGCCC
rnacentral:lncRNA from 1 species